ensembl:lncRNA LINC01811 long intergenic non-protein coding RNA 1811
GUUGGUUGUUCAGAGAUGUUGAGAGAUCAACCAGGAGACUGUGGGAGGAUGUGAGCUCUCUGAGAGAGGUCAAAAGUCCGUCUGACUCACCUGUGCUGAGUGACUUGAAUGCCAUCUAAUCUAACUUCAAGAUCAUCAGGAUACUUGCCAACAAGGUCACAGUGGACUCCAUGGAGCAACUGCCCUCAGGAGGCAACAGGACAAUAUUUGAGAAAAAGAAAGAGAAGAGGAUGGACUUUUUAGACUCAGCUAUACUGCUGAGUUCAAAUGUCUUGGAACUUAGUAGCUGUCACAGUGUUUGGACACCGCAUGAACAUGCCAAUUUCCUGUGUUGUAAUAUUUUUAUGCACUUUAAGAAGACCACCAGAAACAGCAGAGUGAGUGAAUGACUGAGGCGCAUAUUGGACAAAAAUCACUUAUCCAAGACCACGUUACUACAACCCCAGGGCACAGAAGCUAAGUCUUCCUAUUGUACUGAACUCAGUUGACUGGAAUUUGUUCAGGAAAGCAUGAAGUCAAAUGGAAGCUAGUCCGUGACUGGAUUCAUCUUUUGGUAAAAAACGAAGAGGAGACCCCAUAUCCUGGAGGUUCUUGCUUAACCCUGUCCCUAAUAAGACCUAACUUUAUGAGUCUUCUCCUUAGAGGCAGUCCUAGGGUAAGAGUGAUUAUUCCUGUGAGCCUUGUAGGUACUUUCGAAUCAAGGAAAUUAGUAGUUGAUUGCUAAUUAAUUCAGUAUUUAAUGAAUUUAAGUACCUAGGCAAUGAGGCCACAAUAGCAAAUAAGACACAGACCUGUUUUCAAAAAGUAGCCUGUAAAUAAGAUAUUUUUUUCUGCCAUGGUGGCAAAGGCAUGACUAUGGUGAUGAACAUUCAUAGGCUCACCUUCUAGCUCUGUUGUAUGUUAACUGUGUGAACUUGGGUCAAGUUAUGAAAACUCUAAGAACUCUCAAAACUCCUGAUCUGUUUUAACAUGAAAGUAAAGAUAUCUAAUUGAAUUGUUGUGAAACUUAAAUGUAAUGUGACAUCCAAAGAAUGUAGCCCAAAGUUGGAUUUCAGUAAGUGAUAAAUAGAAGUAUUUAAACAUGGGUAUGGUAUGUUCUGUAACAGAAGAAUGUCUAUGUGCUGGGGAUACCUAGAGACAGUGAAAAUUCUGUCUGGCCUGCGAAUUAUAAUAAAAUGACUCUUUAAAGUCAA